AGAUUGAACGCUGGCGGCAGGCCUAACACAUGCAAGUCGAGCGGUAGAGAGGUGCUUGCAUCUCUUGAGAGCGGCGGACGGGUGAGUAAUGCCUAGGAAUCUGCCUAGGUGGUGGGGGAUAACGUUCGGAAACGGACGCUAAUACCGCAUACGUCCUACGGGAGAAAGCGGGGGACCUUCGGGCCUCGCGCCAUUAGAUGAGCCUAGGUCGGAUUAGCUAGUUGGUGAGGUAAUGGCUCA
rnacentral:rRNA from 1 species